rnacentral:rRNA from 1 species
UACUAUGUUACGACUUAUCUCACUUUAAAAUUUUAACGAGACUGACGGGCGAUGUGUGCAUAUUAUAGAGCUUUAAUCACAAUUACAAUCUACAAAGAAUUACUAUUAAAUCCACCUUCAUAUAAAAUUUACAAAAUAUAACACGUUUAUUUUAAAAUAAUGUAAUCCAUCUCCCCUUAAUUAUAAGCUGCACCUUGACCUGAAAUAAAAUUUAUAUAAUAAAUUUAAAGAAAAUAUCCUAAAAAAAUAUUCAAUAAACGGCGGUAUACACACUAUAUUGAUUAAGUUAGGUUCAACGCGGACUAUCGAUCACGGGACAGAUUCCUCUAAACAGACUAAAAUACCGCAAAUUCUUUAAGUUUCAAGACCAUAACUAUUACUACUUAAGUUUAAAUAUUUAUAUUCACAUAUAGGGUAUCUAAUCCUAGUUU